GACGAACGCUGGCGGCGUGCUUAACACAUGCAAGUCGAACGGAAAGGCCCUGCUUUUGUGGGGUGCUCGAGUGGCGAACGGGUGAGUAACACGUGAGUAACCUGCCCUUGACUUUGGGAUAACUUCAGGAAACUGGGGCUAAUACCGGAUAGGAGCUCCUGCUGCAUGGUGGGGGUUGGAAAGUUGCGGGGGUUGGGGAUGGACUCGCGGUUUAUCAGUUUGUUGGUGGGGUAGUGGCUUACCAAGGCUUUGGCGGGUGGCCGGCCUGAGGGGGUGACCGGCCACGUGGGGGCGGAGACGCCCACAAUACUCCUGGGGGAGGCAGCGGGGGAGAAUGUUGCACAGGGGGCAGACGCCUGAUGCAACGACGCCGGGGGGGUGAUGGCCGUCUGGGUGUUAAAAGCCUUUUGCGCGUGAGACGAAGCGUGAGUCGGGAUAGUGAGAAGAAGAACAGGGGAAAUCUGCG
rnacentral:rRNA from 1 species